rnacentral:lncRNA from 1 species
AUUUGACACUUGUUUGUUGUAUUUCCGUAUAUUUUUGUGGAAUUUUCUUAUAAUAUCGUAUAUUUGUUUAAUAUUUGUUGCGUUUUUAAGUAUAUAAGGACAAUAUUACCGUAAAUACUUAUUUGGGUCCUAUACAAAGACAGUAAUGACUUGUGAAGUGUGUUUUCGUAGCCGUGAUAUAAAGAUGAAUGGCGGUAAUAUUUUAGCGUAGCUAUAGUAGAAACAACUCCAAAAUUCCUGAACCAGAUGGAAACAGAAUAAUGUUUUUUACAUUUCCCAAAUACCAUUAUCAAACAAUGGAUAAUAAAAUGUUGCCAUAAAGAUAAA